AUUAAACGCUGGCGGCAGGCUUAACACAUGCAAGUCGAGCGGAGUGAUGGUGCUUGCACUAUCACUUAGCGGCGGACGGGUGAGUAAUGCUUAGGAAUCUGCCUAUCAGUGGGGGACAACAUCUCGAAAGGGAUGCUAAUACCGCAUACGUCCUACGGGAGAAAGCAGGGGAUCACUUGUGACCUUGCGCUAAUAGAUGAGCCUAAGUCGGAUUAGCUAGUUGGUGGGGUAAAGGCCUACCAAGGCGACGAUCUGUAGCGGGUCUGAGAGGAUGAUCCGCCACACUGGGACGGAGACACGGCCCAGACUCCUACGGGAGGCAGCAGUGGGGAAUAUUGGACAAUGGGGGGAACCCUGAUCCAGCCAUGCCGCGUGUGUGAAGAAGGCCUUAUGGUUGUAAAGCACUUUAAGCGAGGAGGAGGCUCUUUUGGUUAAUACCCAAGAUGAGUGGACGUUACUCGCAGAAUAAGCACCGGCUAACUCUGUGCCAGCCGCCGCUGUAAAAC
rnacentral:rRNA from 1 species